GCGCCCUUAGCUCAGCUGGAUAGAGCAACGGCCUUCUAAGCCGUGGGUCGCAGGUUCGAAUCCUGCAGGGCGCGCCA
rnacentral:tRNA from 3 species